ensembl:lncRNA
GUAUUGAUAUUUCCUCACAGCAGAAGCUUUCCACUUUGUUGUGUUUUAGCACAUUUCCCACACCUAUUACUCUCUAUCAAAAUGUAGUCAAAGUGCUAAAACUACAGUUAUGUACCAGCAGAUAAUGAUCAUUUUACCGAACACAGACAUUUGGCUGUUACCUUUAUUGCUGUGCAUAUUAAUGUGCUUAGCUCUCAUAUUCUGGAUCAUACUAGAUUAUGUGCAAAUCGAUCUGAGAAGUUUGUAUUUUCAAUUGAUAAGAAGAGUUUAUCUUAUUACUUCUGCUGCAUAACAGGAAAGAAAGAGGGGGAACAAAGAAAAACGUCAUCUUUAAUAUCAGUGUAGCAGUACAACAUCAAGCUGUUUGUGUGUUUGCACAGAACAGUGACGGUUUGCCUGAGGAGUUCAAAUCAGUUUGUCAUUUAUGAAUUUUCUCUACAGUUUCUUCAGCUUUUCAUUUUCUAAAACUGAAUUUCUCUUUCUGUGCAGGGUGCGACUUAAUCAAAGGGACUAAUGCCCAAGUCACAUGUCACUUUGUGUCACGCCUAUUAGAACAAUAUGUGUAAGGAGGAUUCGAGAGAAGUCUGAUCAAAGCUGGUGAGGCUGAACGACACAGGCUAGUCAACAGGACAGAUAACUGAUUUUCCUAGAACAGGUCCCGUGUAUUUUCAAAAAGCAAAUGUGGCACAAAAGUGCCAAAAAGCACAAAAUAUCUGAGGACCAAAUUGGAGUCGCUGGGCGGGGCUACCACAGGAAAUUCACCACUGAUUGGCAAAUGCAGUUACUAUGUAACAAAAUGUGGGCUAGUUCUGAAGACGCACACUGGCACUGUGUUGCUGGAAAUGAGAUACAUGUGAGUGACUGUAGUCGGUCAGAACCAAAUAUUUUCUGUCUUCAGGUUGUUUGUAAAAGAAAUGCGCUUUCUCACUUCAAUGCAACUUUAUCCCCAUAAAUAUCUCAAAGCCCCGUUCAGACUGCUUGAUGGCCCCGACAGAGGUUUGUCGAAAUAGCUUCAGAAACUGUUGUAUAAAUUAUAAUGUACGAACCACAAGUUAUCUCAGUAGCAGAUAAGGUGAGCAGCAGCCAUCUUGGUUAUUUACAAAAGAUCCACAGCAGGGCUCCUCGGUGUAUUUACAUCAAACCUGCCCUGUAUUAGAUGAAUGUUUGUGAUUGGCCUGACACAAACAGGGCUGCGUGGAAAUGUGAAGACGGAUGCAUUCUGCACGAGCUAAGGAAACACAAGCUCUUAUUCAUUUGGUUCCCAGGCUAUAUUUAUUACCCCCCCCCCCCCCUUUAAAAAAAAUAAACAGUAUAAGAUAUUGUUUUUGGUUGUGUGAGAAUUUUUGUACAGAAAUAAGUUUCCUGCCAAAAAAAAUUGUGUUUGGUUUCUCAGAUUGGCUCAAGUUCAGCUCGCCAAAAGCCGGAAGCGAUUUAAUAAGGGACACGCUAAAUGGGAGUGGUGAGUGAUUGGAUCUGUUAUGGCAGUGCCAUUUAGAAAAAACCUCUCCUAGCUGCAGCCAUGUUGGUAAUAUCAGAUAUAAAAAUAAAUAAAUAAAAACUCCCUUAAAUGCGUGGUGACUUUUCUUUCCCCUGAAAGUUUUACUUCUAUCUUUGCUGUUGUGAAAUCCUCCUGUGAAUUCAGGCUGCCCUGUCUGCUCUUAUGUCUCUUUUAAGCCUUUUGUGGAUCCAGAUGUUCUGUUUAUUUAGGAAUCCACCAACAAAGCUGACCAAACUGUUUAUUUAGCAGUUAAAAAAGGCCAUGCUAUGUGUGAAAUAUGUAUAACUUUGUCUUUGUGUCUCUUGCUAAAUGUUCGUGAUUGUUAUUUAAACACCCCCUCUCCUCUUCCUCUGUUCACCACAGGGCAGACAGACAACCACACACUUUCACAACUUACUUAAAGACUAAUUUAUUAUUUUGUUUUGGGGGUUUUUUUCAUUUCCAAUAGCCA